rnacentral:tRNA from 1 species
GCCUCUGUGGCUCAGUGGUAGAGCGCUUCAUUGGUAAUGAAGAGGUCCCGAGUUCGACUCUCGGCAGAGGCU